AGCACGUAGGUGGGUUUGUAAGUCAGACGUGAAAGCCUUCUGUUCAACGGAAGAAUUGCAUCUGAAACUACAAACCCUGAGUGUAGGAGGGGAGAAUGGAACUUCUGGUGGAGCGGUGAAAUGCGUAGAUAUCAGAAGGAACGCCGGCGGCGAAAGCGAUUCUCUGGCCUAUUACUGACACUUAGUGUGCGAAAGCUAGGGGAGCAAACGGGAUUAGAUGCCCCGGUAGUCCUAGCCGUAAACGAUGGGCACUAAGUAGAGGGG
rnacentral:rRNA from 1 species